CACUCCUGCGGGAGGCAGCAGUGGGGAAUUUUGGACAAUGGGCGAAAGCCUGAUCCAGCAAUGCCGCGUGAGUGAAGAAGGCCUUCGGGUUGUAAAGCUCUUUUGUCAGGGAAGAAACGGUGAAAGCUAAUAUCUUUUGCUAAUGACGGUACCUGAAGAAUAAGCACCGGCUAACUACGUGCCAGCAGCCGCGGUAAUACGUAGGGUGCAAGCGUUAAUCGGAAUUACUGGGCGUAAAGCGUGCGCAGGCGGUUUUGUAAGUCUGAUGUGAAAUCCCCGGGCUCAACCUGGGAAUUGCAUUGGAGACUGCAAGGCUAGAAUCUGGCAGAGGGGGGUAGAAUUCCACGUGUAGCAGUGAAAUGCGUAGAUAUGUGGAGGAACACCGAUGGCGAAGGCAGCCCCCUGGGUCAAGAUUGACGCUCAUGCACGAAAGCGUGGGGAGCAAACAGGAUUAGAAACCCGUGUAGUCCCAUGA
rnacentral:rRNA from 1 species